rnacentral:tRNA from 1 species
AUUUAUAUAGUUUAAAUAAAACAUUACAUUUUCAAUGUAAAAAUAAAAUUAUUAUUUUUAUAAAUA